rnacentral:rRNA from 1 species
UUAAGCGACUAAGCGUACACGGUGGAUGCCCUGGCAGUCAGAGGCGAUGAAGGACGUGCUAAUCUGCGAAAAGCGUCGGUAAGGUGAUAUGAACCGUUACAGCCGGCGAUGUCCGAAUGGGGAAACCCAGUGUGAUUCGUCACACUAUCGUUAACUGAAUACAUAGGUUAACGAGGCGAACCGGGGGAACUGAAACAUCUAAGUACCCCGAGGAAAAGAAAUCAACCGAGAUUCCCCCAGUAGCGGCGAGCGAACGGGGAGCAGCCCAGAGUCUGAAUCAGCUUGUGUGUUAGUGGAACGGUCUGGAAAGUCCGACGGUACAGGGUGAUAGUCCCGUACACCAAAAUGCACAGGCUGUGAACUCGAAGAGUAGGGCGGGACACGUGGUAUCCUGUCUGAAUAUGGGGGGACCAUCCUCCAAGGCUAAAUACUCCUGACUGACCGAUAGUGAACCAGUACCGUGAGGGAAAGGCGAAAAGAACCCCGGCGAGGGGAGUGAAAAAGAACCUGAAACCGUGUACGUACAAGCAGUGGGAGCACCUUUAUGGUGUGACUGCGUACCUUUUGUAUAAUGGGUCAGCGACUUAUAUUCUGUAGCAAGGUUAACCGUAUAGGGGAGCCGCAGGGAAACCGAGUCUUAACUGGGCGUUAAGUUGCAGGGUAUAGACCCGAAACCCGGUGAUCUAGCCAUGGGCAGGUUGAAGGUUGGGUAACACUAACUGGAGGACCGAACCGACUAAUGUUGAAAAAUUAGCGGAUGACUUGUGGCUGGGGGUGAAAGGCCAAUCAAACCGGGAGAUAGCUGGUUCUCCCCGAAAGCUAUUUAGGUAGCGCCUCGUGAAUUCAUCUUCGGGGGUAGAGCACUGUUUCGGCUAGGGGGUCAUCCCGACUUACCAACCCGAUGCAAACUACGAAUACCGAAGAAUGUUAUCACGGGAGACACACGGCGGGUGCUAACGUCCGUCGUGAAGAGGGAAACAACCCAGACCGCCAGCUAAGGUCCCAAAGUCACAGUUAAGUGGGAAACGAUGUGGGAAGGCACAGACAGCCAGGAUGUUGGCUUAGAAGCAGCCAUCAUUUAAAGAAAGCGUAAUAGCUCACUGGUCGAGUCGGCCUGCGCGGAAGAUGUAACGGGGCUAAACUGUGCACCGAAGCUGCGGCAGCGACACUAUGUGUUGUUGGGUAGGGGAGCGUUCUGUAAGCCUGCGAAGGUGGCCUGUGAGGGUUGCUGGAGGUAUCAGAAGUGCGAAUGCUGACAUAAGUAACGAUAAUGCGGGUGAAAAGCCCGCACGCCGGAAGACCAAGGGUUCCUGUCCAACGUUAAUCGGGGCAGGGUGAGUCGACCCCUAAGGCGAGGCCGAAAGGCGUAGUCGAUGGGAAACAGGUUAAUAUUCCUGUACUUGGUGUUACUGCGAAGGGGGGACGGAGAAGGCUAUGUUAGCCGGGCGACGGUUGUCCCGGUUUAAGCAUGUAGGCGGAGGUUCCAGGUAAAUCCGGUACCUUUUAACGCUGAGGUGUGAUGACGAGGCACUACGGUGCUGAAGUAACAAAUGCCCUGCUUCCAGGAAAAGCCUCUAAGCAUCAGGUAACAUUAAAUCGUACCCCAAACCGACACAGGUGGUCAGGUAGAGAAUACCAAGGCGCUUGAGAGAACUCGGGUGAAGGAACUAGGCAAAAUGGUGCCGUAACUUCGGGAGAAGGCACGCUGAUAUGUAGGUGAAGCCCCUGCGGGUGGAGCUGAAAUCAGUCGAAGAUACCAGCUGGCUGCAACUGUUUAUUAAAAACACAGCACUGUGCAAACACGAAAGUGGACGUAUACGGUGUGACGCCUGCCCGGUGCCGGAAGGUUAAUUGAUGGGGUUAUCCGUAAGGAGAAGCUCUUGAUCGAAGCCCCGGUAAACGGCGGCCGUAACUAUAACGGUCCUAAGGUAGCGAAAUUCCUUGUCGGGUAAGUUCCGACCUGCACGAAUGGCGUAAUGAUGGCCAGGCUGUCUCCACCCGAGACUCAGUGAAAUUGAACUCGCUGUGAAGAUGCAGUGUACCCGCGGCAAGACGGAAAGACCCCGUGAACCUUUACUAUAGCUUGACACUGAACAUUGAGCCUUGAUGUGUAGGAUAGGUGGGAGGCUUUGAAGCGUGGACGCCAGUCUGCGUGGAGCCAACCUUGAAAUACCACCCUUUAAUGUUUGAUGUUCUAACGUUGGCCCCUUAUCGGGGUUGCGGACAGUGUCUGGUGGGUAGUUUGACUGGGGCGGUCUCCUCCCAAAGAGUAACGGAGGAGCACGAAGGUUAGCUAAUCCUGGUCGGACAUCAGGAGGUUAGUGCAAUGGCAUAAGCUAGCUUGACUGCGAGCGUGACGGCGCGAGCAGGUGCGAAAGCAGGUCAUAGUGAUCCGGUGGUUCUGAAUGGAAGGGCCAUCGCUCAACGGAUAAAAGGUACUCCGGGGAUAACAGGCUGAUACCGCCCAAGAGUUCAUAUCGACGGCGGUGUUUGGCACCUCGAUGUCGGCUCAUCACAUCCUGGGGCUGAAGUAGGUCCCAAGGGUAUGGCUGUUCGCCAUUUAAAGUGGUACGCGAGCUGGGUUUAGAACGUCGUGAGACAGUUCGGUCCCUAUCUGCCGUGGGCGCUGGAGAAUUGAGGGGGGCUGCUCCUAGUACGAGAGGACCGGAGUGGACGCAUCACUGGUGUUCGGGUUGUCAUGCCAAUGGCAUUGCCCGGUAGCUAAAUGCGGAAGAGAUAAGUGCUGAAAGCAUCUAAGCACGAAACUUGCCCCGAGAUGAGUUCUCCCUGAGACUUUAAGUCUCCUGAAGGAACGUUAAAGACGAUGACGUUGAUAGGUCGGGUGUGUAAGCGUAGCGAUACGUUGAGCUAACCGAUACUAAUGAACCGUGAGGCUUAACCUU